AGAGUUUGAUCAUGGCUCAGGACGAACGCUGGCGGCGUGCUUAACACAUGCAAGUCGAGCGGUAAGGCCCUUCGGGGUACACGAGCGGCGAACGGGUGAGUAACACGUGGGUGAUCUGCCCUGCACUUCGGGAUAAGCCUGGGAAACUGGGUCUAAUACCGGAUAUGACCUUCGGCUGCAUGGCCGUUGGUGGAAAGGUUUACUGGUGCAGGAUGGGCCCGCGGCCUAUCAGCUUGUUGGUGGGGUAAUGGCCUACCAAGGCGACGACGGGUAGCCGACCUGAGAGGGUGACCGGCCACACUGGGACUGAGACACGGCCCAGACUCCUACGGGAGGCAGCAGUGGGGAAUAUUGCACAAUGGGCGAAAGCCUGAUGCAGCGACGCCGCGUGAGGGAUGACGGCCUUCGGGUUGUAAACCUCUUUCAGCAGGGACGAAGCCGAAGUGACGGUA
rnacentral:rRNA from 1 species